GAAUGCCGGUGUGAGUAGCGAAAGACGGGUGAGAAUCCCGUCCACCGAUUGACUAAGGUUUCCAGAGGAAGGCUCGUCCGCUCUGGGUUAGUCGGGUCCUAAGCUGAGGCCGACAGGCGUAGGCGAUGGAUAACAGGUUGAUAUUCCUGUACCACCAUUAUUCGUUUUAAGCGAUGGGGGGACGCAGUAGGAUAGGCGAAGCGUGCUGUUGGAGUGCACGUCCAAGCAGUGAGAUUGAGUGUUAGGCAAAUCCGGCACUCUUAAGAUUGAGCUGUGAUGGGGAGAGGAACUUGUUCCUCGAGUCGUUGAUUUCACACUGCCGAGAAAAGCCUCUAGCUAGAAUAACGGUGCCCGUACCGCAAACCGACACAGGUAGUCAAGAUGAGAAUUCUAAGGUGAGCGAGCGAACUCUCGUUAAGGAACUCGGCAAAAUGACCCCGUAACUUCGGGAGAAGGGGUGCUCUUUGAGGUUCACGCUUCGAAGAGCCGCAGUGAAUAGGCCCAAGCGACUGUUUAUCAAAAACACAGGUCUCUGCUAAACCGUAAGGUGACGUAUAGGGGCUGACGCCUGCCCGGUGCUGGAAGGUUAAGAGGAGUGGUUAGCGCAAGCGAAGCUACGAAUCGAAGCCCCAGUAAACGGCGGCCGUAACUAUAACGGUCCUAAGGUAGCGAAAUUCCUUGUCGGGUAAGUUCCGACCCGCACGAAAGGCGUAACGAUUUGGGCACUGUCUCAACGAGAGACUCGGUGAAAUCAUAGUACCGGUGAAGAUGCCGGUUACCCGCGACAGGACGGAAAGACCCCGUGGAGCUUUACUGUAGCCUGAUAUUGAAAUUCGGUACAGUUUGUACAGGAUAGGUAGGAGCCUUAGAAGCGUGAGCGCUAGCUUACGUGGAGGCAUUGGUGGGAUACUACCCUAAUUGUAUUGGAUUUCUAACCCGCAGCACUUAUCGUGCUGGGAGACAGUGUCAGGCGGGCAGUUUGACUGGGGCGGUCGCCUCCUAAAGAGUAACGGAGGCGCUCAAAGGUUCCCUCAGAAUGGUUGGAAAUCAUUCAUAGAGUGUAAAGGCAUAAGGGAGCUUGACUGCGAGACCUACAAGUCGAGCAGGGUCGAAAGACGGACUUAGUGAUCCGGUGGUUCCGCAUGGAAGGGCCAUCGCUCAACGGAUAAAAGCUACCCCGGGGAUAACAGGCUUAUCUCCCCCAAGAGUUCACAUCGACGGGGAGGUUUGGCACCUCGAUGUCGGCUCAUCGCAUCCUGGGGCUGUAGUCGGUCCCAAGGGUUGGGCUGUUCGCCCAUUAAAGCGGUACGCGAGCUGGGUUCAGAACGUCGUGAGACAGUUCGGUCCCUAUCCGUCGUGGGCGUAGGAAAUUUGAGAGGAGCUGUCCUUAGUACGAGAGGACCGGGAUGGACAUACCUCUGGUGUACCAGUUGUCGUGCCAACGGCAUAGCUGGGUAGCUAUGUAUGGACGGGAUAAGUGCUGAAAGCAUCUAAGCAUGAAGCCCCCCUCGAGAUGAGAUUUCCCAACUUCGGUUAUAAGAUCCCUCAAAGAUGAUGAGGUGAAUAGGUUCGAGGUGGAAGCGUAGCGAUACGUGGAGCUGACGAAUACUA
rnacentral:rRNA from 1 species